ACUAACGCUGGCGGCGUGCCUAACACAUGCAAGUCGUACGUGUUGUUUAUAGUAGCAAUAUUGUGAACGGCAAGUGGCGAACGGGUGAGUAACACGUAGAUAAUCUGCCUUUCAGACGGGGAUAACUCAGGGAAACUUGUGCUAAUACCCGAUGAGACUACGGAAGGGGACUUCUGCAGCCAAAUGAGGGGGCAACCUCUCGCUGAAAGAUGAGUCUGCGUCCUAUCAGCUAGUUGGUGGGGUAAAAGCCUACCAAGGCGAAGACGGGUAGCCGGCCUGAGAGGGUGAACGGCCACACUGGGACUGAGACACGGCCCAGACUCCUACGGGAGGCAGCAGUGAGGAAUUUUCCGCAAUGGGCGCAAGCCUGACGGAGCGACGCCGCGUGAGGGAUGACGGCCUUCGGGUUGUAAACCUCUUUUAUUAAGGAAAAGGAUUUGCGUGCUAAUACCACGUAAAUUUGAUGGUACUUAUUGAAUAAGCCCCGGCUAACUACGUGCCAGCAGCCGCGGUAAUACGUAGGGGGCGAGCGUUGUCCGGAGUUACUGGGCGUAAAGAGCGUGUAGGCGGUUGAAAAAGUCAGGUGUGAAAUUCUUCGGCUCAACCGGGGGACUGCGCCUGAAACUUUUCGACUGGAGUUUGGGAGGGGCAACUGGAAUUCCUGGUGUAACGGUGAAAUGUGUAGAUAUCAGGAGGAACACCCGUGGCGAAGGCGGGUUGCUGGACCAAAACUGACGCUGAGACGCGAAAGCGUGGGUAGCAAACAGGAUUAGAUACCCUGGUAGUCCACGCUGUAAACGAUGAGUGCUAGGUGUAGGGGGUAUCGACUCCUUCUGUGCCGCAGCUAACGCAUUAAGCACUCCGCCUGGGGAGUACGGCCGCAA
rnacentral:rRNA from 1 species